rnacentral:lncRNA from 1 species
UACUGCCAUUUAUUCAGCAGCAUAAAAUGUGUUUAUAUCUAUCCUUUAAAAUAUAAAGCCUGCAAAAAGUACAUUUCCUUAUGAAAAAUAAUAAGAUGAUGUUAAUGAUGAAUUCUUGGAAGCUUUGGUAUAAUGUAAGGAAACUUUAUCUAUUUUUUUUUUUUUUGUCUUUUUUUGUCUGUUUAGGGCCACACCCAGGCUAGGGACUGAAUCGGAGCUACAGCUGCUGGCCUACGCCCAGAGCCACAGCAACUCCAGAUCCGAGCCAUGUCUGUGACCAACAUCACAGCUCAUGGCAACACUGGAUCCUUAACCCACUGAGGGAGCCAGGGAUAGAACCUGCAACCUCAUGGUUCCUAGUAGGAUUCAUUUCUGUUGCGCCACAACGGGAACUCUGAGGCAUCUUUAUCUUAUUUUGUCUCCUAGUUCCUGCUUACCAAACCAAAAAAAUAUGCAAGUUAAUGGAGUGAAUUUCUUUAUGACACUGAGAAGAGAGGGAUAAAAUGUAUUACAACAGACUUCUUUCCCAGUUCACAAGAAGUCCUGACUCUGUUCUAUAUUCAAGAUAAAUGUUCAGGUACUUGUUACAUUAAAAUUAUAAUAUUUACUGCUGAGAAUGUAUUAAUCAUGUAAUUUUCAACUACAUUUUACAUAUACAUUAACUAAGAGACUAUGGAAGUGAUUUAGUGAACAGUACAUUAAUAGUUUUUUUUUAAAAAAAGCUAAAAUUAUAUUAAAUUUUCUUGAUCUCUGUUUAUGCACUUUUACUAUUUCACUUUAGAACAUGGGUGUACAUAGUUUAUACUUAUAUAGAGUUUAGUACAAAAUUAAAUGAACUCAGUUUUUUUUUUAAUUUUAGGUUUUAAUAGCCUUUUGUAUACUUGAUUAAAUGGUUUUCAACUAUAUCGUUAAAAAAAAAGAUAGCAGACCUCUUGUCUUAAAUGUUUGGGAAUCCAGUCUAACAUAAUUCUUCAUAAGAGAAGAGCACAUCUGAGAUAUUUUGACCAUAAUGGUGUGACAGUAAAUGCUUUUUUUCUUUUAAUAAGGGGACUUAAUUGUCUAGAAACUGUAGAGUAUUAACAAGUUUGAAAGAAUAUGUUGCAUUUGUCCUUCACUGUCACGGUAUACUAUUCUUACUUAAACACCACUAUAAAAGAGACUGAGGUUUAAAUAAAGUCAGAAAAUGAGUUAAUUUGAUAGUUUAGCUCAACCAGGAGAAUAGCUAUUCUUUGUCUUGUAUUAAUAUUAAAUACCAUAGAUUUACACAAACAUUUACCAACAUCUUGAAAUUAAUUAUCUAGUCCAUCCUAUUUUAACAUAAAAAAAGUAUGGCUCUGUGUUUGAAAACUCUCAUAAAUUAUGAAAAAGUUUAAUCUUUAUGAGAGGAGGUGGACAUGCUCUUAUAUGUAAUCUUCCAAAUAUUUACUUUAGAAAAACAAAAUAAUUUAUUUGACCUUCACUGAAUCUAAUUUUAAUUAUAGAUUAUAUACAUAUAUAAUUCUAGACUCUUAUUAAAUCUUUACUAACAAAAAUAUUAUUUUCAGAGCUUAGAGAAAAUAAACAGAAAAUCUAAUCACAAAUAUAGGUGAAAGAUAAAAUUCCUGUAUAAAAAGAAUUCUCCAAGGAUUUAAUAGCAUGCAGAAAUCCAACCUGCGGAGAAUUUUACGGUUUUUCUUAAUCCUCUUUCUUUCUGGUCUAUGUAUUGUAAUAUUUUUUCUUUUAUUUUAAAGAAACUGCCUAAUGAACCACUUAAUCAUUGCCUUCCUUUCUGCUUUUUUAUUUUCUUUCUUUUUUCUUUCACUUUUAAGCCCACACCUGGGGCAUACAGAAGUUCCCUGGUUAGGGGUCAAAUCAGAGCUGCUGCUCCUGCAGGACUAUACCACAGCCACAGCAACAAUGGAUCAGAGCUGCUUCUGUGACCUAAGCCACAGCCUGAGGCAAUGCCAGAUCCUUAACUCUGAGCUUACAACCAACACUGCAUUUUAUUUUUCCAUUAAAUAUAUUUUUGUAGGUUUUUUUUUGUUUGUUUUUGUUUUUUCAACCAACACUGCAUUUUAUUUUUCCAUUAAAUAUAUUUUUUGUAGGUUUUUUUUUUGUUUGUUUUUGUUUUUUUUUGACUUUUGUCUUAUUAGGGUUGCAUCCAUGGCAUAUGGAGGUUCCCAGGCGAGGGUCCAAUUGGAGCUGUUGGUGCUGGCCUACGCCACUGCCAUAGCAAUGCCAGAUCCAAAGUGUCUGCGACCUACACCACAGCUCACAUCAACGCCGGAUCCUUAACACACUGAGUGAGAACAGGAAUGGAACCCACAAUCUCAUGGUUCCUAGUGGGAUUUGUUUCCACUGCGCCACAGAGGGAACUCCAUUUUCCCAUUAAAUAUACUGUUAAUUAGUCUCAAAGUUUAAAGCAUUUUGUCUCUCAUCAUUUCAGAAUUACUCCCUUCAGAAUGUGGUAAAAGACUGAAGUCAAUUUAGGGUUAUGAUCUAAUUUUUCUUAUAUUUUCCUAUAAGAAAUCAAUACUAAAAUCUGUACAAGGGUCUUGUUUUUGGUAGUUUUAUUUUCUAAAUUGAGGAUGUGAGGAGGUUUAAAGGUACAUCUGAAAGAAUUUUGUUGCAAGUAAGAAAAUACGGUAUAUAUUAGAUAUGUCCCUUACCAUACAGAUGAGGCUCCACAAUUAGUUCCUGGGUAAAGUAUCUAUGUCAUAUUCUCAAUCUGCACAGUAAAUCUUAAACCCUAGGACUUAACUCCAGUCUGCAUGUCUUACGUUGUUCCCAAAAUAUUUUAGAUCAAUCUCUUUUCAUACUUUACUCCCUUUGCUCUUUCAUUUUCCAAAAGGAAACUCCUCGAGGAUAAUGAGUAAAACACACAAAUUUUAAUUCUGCAUCAUUAAAUGAUCACUACCCACUUUUUCAAUGACUCUAGGAAGGAUAUACAAUUUGUAGCAAAUAUAAAAAGAGAGCAGAAGAAUUUAAACCAUUCACUUUUAUCACUAACAGGCCAGGAACAGAUUAUGUCUGCACUACUUCUACAUGGCUAAUUGUUUUUUGUAUGGAAAUUUUUUUGUUGCAUUAUAGAAUAAGAAUAGAAAUGUGGUGUGGCUAAUUUAUUUGUAGGAAGUCAUUUAACCAAAUGAUAACAAUUUAUCCUAUCUUAAAAUAGUUUGCUUUUAUUCUUGUCACGAUCCAUCUUCUUUAUAAAGUUCAACCUAUGUUAGUAUGUGCGUAAAUCAAUACAGAAACAUUAGAGGUAAUUACUUCAUGUUAAUUCCACUAACUAAAUAUUUGCCACAUACUGAGCACUAUGUGAAUCAUGUUCCCUCUCCACGAGACUUCUGAAAAAGCCAAAAUUAUCCACCACGUGUAGAAAAAACCAGAGAGCACAUUUUGAGUGUUAAGUUCUUUGCUGAGUUUAGCUAAUUUUAUAUCUUUAUUUUCUUUGUAUCCUCAUUUAAUUAAGAAAUUUUAUUUUUUUUCCAUAACAUGUAUUUUUGUAAGUCAUUUUAGAUUCAGUUAAAUAUAGUCAUGUAAAAAUAAAUAAUACUAUGGUUCUCCUUUAUUCCCAACAACACAUUUGUACAGAAGCUCCUAAAUCACAGAACCUUGAAAUGAAUUGAGCCAACAACAUUUGCAGCAGAAAAAUAACUAUUGCCAUAAAACCUUAAUUAGCAAGAACCAUAACUAUAGUCAGCAUUCAUUAAAUAUCAUUUGAAUUCACACAAAUGAUGUAUACACAAGUAGCCACAUGCAUUUAGUUUAAGAGAAUGUUUUUAUAAGACUGGUUACUAUAAAAAGAAAAAUGCACAUGGAUAUAAGCAAUUGUAAUGAUAUUUAUAUGUAAUUGAGCACAUGGUAAAUAUACACAAGGACACCAAGCAGUUAAAUCAUUUUGUUAUAAUGGAAUGACAUCUAUACUAUGUAAAACACCAUAUUCAUUGCCUGCCAAAAUAUUUUUUUGUUCUUUUUUCAGUUUUCCUGUUUGUUAUUCUGUGACAAAAUUACAGGACAGCUACAGUGGCAUGGCAACUGAAAGCUUAAAGGCUUGUUCAGGAAAAGGAGAGAUACUAUUUUAAAACAAAUGCUUACUCUAUUUGUGAUUUAUCAAGUUAGACUGAUGUGAAAUUUUUUUCUCAAGGUGACAGAUAUCUGAAUUUCCUAAAACUAUUCAAAAUAUGUCAGAUACUUACUCAAUAUUUAGUAACAUGUUAAGUAAAUUCUGACAAUUUUUCAACAUAAAUUCAGUGACUCAACACUUCUACAAAUGUUGACUUACCUCUGACUGGGAUGGGAAUAACUCCAGAGUCCAUUCAUUUCAUAACUGGGUGUCAUUUGUAUAAUGAACUACAUGUUGGAAGUGUUGAAUUUGAGACACUGCUUAAGUAAUUAUAUGCUUUAAGGUUAUUUACUUUAUCCAAUGUACUGUUUAGAUCUACAAUUAGCUGGCACUAGAUAUGUAGAUGUCUGGUUUUUGAAGUUCAUUCAGUGAGACAGGGAUCUUUUCCAGCCAUGGAUAAAUUCCCACUUUAUUCCUUGGAGAAGGAAUAACCACGUUAGUUUUUUUCUAGUGGUGUUAUAAUUAAAUUCCUUUUAAUUGAAGGAAGAACAAGAAAAUCCUAGGAAAGGAGUUCCUGGGAUAUGCUAUAAGCAACAACUUUCCUACAUGCCCUUAAAAUAAACCCCCUUAGGAGUUCCCAAUGUGGCACAGUGGAAACAAAUCCAACUAGGAACCAUGAGAUUGUGGGUUCGAUCCUUGGCCUUGCUCAGUAGGUUAAGGAUCUGGCAUUGCCAUGAGCUGUGGCGUAGGUUGCAGAUGUGGCUCGGAUCUGCCAUUGCUGUGGCUCUGGCAUAGGCUGGCAGCUGUAGCUCUGAUUAGAGCCCUAGCUGGGAACCUCCACAUGGUGCGGGUGCAGCC